rnacentral:rRNA from 1 species
CCUCGGCGGCUGCAGUGGGGAAUAUUGGACAAUGGGCGAAAGCCUGAUCCAGCCAUGCCGCGUGUGUGAAGAAGGCCUUCGGGUUGUAAAGCACUUUCAGUGGGGAAGAAAGCCUUGGGGCUAAUACCCUCGAGGAAGGACAUCACCCACAGAAGAAGCACCGGCUAACUCCGUGCCAGCAGCCGCGGUAAUACGGAGGGUGCGAGCGUUAAUCGGAAUUACUGGGCGUAAAGCGCGCGUAGGCGGUCUGAUAAGCCGGUUGUGAAAGCCCCGGGCUCAACCUGGGAACGGCAUCCGGAACUGUCAGGCUAGAGUGCAGGAGAGGAAGGUAGAAUUCCCGGUGUAGCGGUGAAAUGCGUAGAGAUCGGGAGGAAUACCAGUGGCGAAGGCGGCCUUCUGGACUGAUACUGACGCUGAGGUGCGAAAGCGUGGGUAGCAAACAGGAUUAGAUACCCGAGUAGUC